UACGUAGGGCGCAAGCGUUGUCCGGAAUUAUUGGGCGUAAAGAGCUCGUAGGUGGCUUGUCGCGUCUGCCGUGAAAGCCCAUGGCUUAACUGUGGGUCUGCGGUGGAUACGGGCUGGCUAGAGGUAGGUAGGGGCAAGCGGAAUUCCUGGUGUAGCGGUGAAAUGCGCAGAUAUCAGGAAGAACACCGAUGGCGAAGGCAGCUCUCUGGGACGGUACUGACGCUGAGACGCGAAAGCGUGGGGAGCGAACAGG
rnacentral:rRNA from 1 species